CAGCAGCCACGGGAAUACAGAGGGUGCGAGCGUUAAUCGGAUUUACUCGGCGUAAAGCGUGCGUAGGCGGCUUCUUAAGUCGGAUGUGAAAUCCCUGAGCUUAACUUAGGAAUUGCAUUCGAUACUGGGAAGCUAGAGUAUGGGAGAGGAUGGUAGAAUUCCAGGUGUAGCGGUGAAAUGCGUAGAGAUCUGGAGGAAUACCGAUGGCGAAGGCAGCCAUCUGGCCUAAUACUGACGCUGAGGUACGAAAGCAUGGGGAGCAAACAGGAUUAGAUACCCCGGUAGUCCCUGUCUCUUAUAC
rnacentral:rRNA from 1 species